UACGUAGGGGGCAAGCGUUGUCCGGAAUCAUUGGGCGUAAAGAGCGUGUAGGCGGCCCGAUAAGUCCGCCGUGAAAGUCCAGGGCUCAACCCUGGGAUGCCGGUGGAAACUGUCGGGCUAGAGUCCGGAAGAGGCGAGUGGAAUUCCUGGUGUAGCGGUGAAAUGCGCAGAUAUCAGGAGGAGCACCGAUGGCGAAGGCAGCUCGCUGGGACGGUACUGACGCUGAGACGCGAAAGCGUGGGGAGCGAACAGG
rnacentral:rRNA from 1 species